rnacentral:rRNA from 1 species
GAUGAACGCUGGCGGCGUGCCUAACACAUGCAAGUCGAACGAAGCUCUUACGACAGAACUCUUCGGAGGGAAGAUGUAAGAGACUGAGUGGCGGACGGGUGAGUAACGCGUGGGUAACCUGCCCUAUACAGGGGGACAACAGUUGGAAACGACUGCUAAUACCGCAUAAGCGCACAGUACCGCAUGGUACAGAGCGAAAAACUCCGGUGGUAUAGGAUGGGCCCGCGUCUGAUUAGCUAGUUGGAGGUGUAACGGACUACCAAGGCGACGAUCAGUAGCCGGCUUGAGAGAGGGAACGGCCACAUUGGGACUGAGACACGGCCCAAACUCCUACGGGAGGCAGCAGUGGGGAAUAUUGCACGAUGGGGGAAACCCUGAUGCAGCAACGCCGCGUGAGUGAAGAAGUAUUUCGGUAUGUAAAGCUCUAUCAGCAGGGAAGAAAAUGACGGUACCUGACUAAGAAGCCCCGGCUAACUACGUGCCAGCAGCCGCAGUAA